GCUAUGGCUGACGGCGGAGGGACAUUACCGAGUUAUACAACUCCCAAACCCACUGUGAACCUUACCUCAGUUGCCUCGGCGGGAACGCCCCGGCCGCCUGCCCCCGCGCCGGCGCCGGACCCAGGCGCCCGCCGCAGGGACCCCAAACUCUCUUGCAUUACGCCCAGCGGGCGGAAUUUCUUCUCUGAGUUGCACAAGCAAAAACAAAUGAAUCAAAACUUUCAACAACGGAUCUCUUGGUUCUGGCAUCGAUGAAGAACGCAGCGAAAUGCGAUAAGUAAUGUGAAUUGCAGAAUUCAGUGAAUCAUCGAAUCUUUGAACGCACAUUGCGCCCGCCAGCAUUCUGGCGGGCAUGCCUGUUCGAGCGUCAUUUCAACCCUCGAGCCCCCCCGGGGGCCUCGGUGUUGGGGGACGGCACACCAGCCGCCCCCGAAAUGCAGUGGCGACCCCGCCGCAGCCUCCCCUGCGUAGUAGCACACACCUCGCACCGGAGCGCGGAGGCGGUCACGCCGUAAAACGCCCAACUUUCUUAGAGUUGACCUCGGAUCAGGUAGGAAUACCCGCUGAACUUAAGCAUAUCAAUAGCCCGGAGGAAA
rnacentral:rRNA from 1 species